rnacentral:rRNA from 1 species
GACGAACGCUGGCGGCGUGCCUAAUACAUGCACGUCGAACGCAGUGGGGACGGGUGAGUAACACGUGGGUAACCUCCCAUCAGAGGGGAUAACACUUGGAAACAGGUGCUAAACCGAUACUGAUGGAUGGACCCGCGGUGCAUUCGCUAGUUUGUGAGGUAACGGCUCACCAAGGCCACGAUGCAUAGCCGACCUGAGAGGGUGAUCGGCCACACUGGGACUGAGACACGGCCCAGACGCCUACGGGAGGCAGACGUAGGGAAUCUUCGGCAAUGGACGAAAGUCUGACCGAGCAACGCCGCGGGAGUGAAGAAGGUUUUCGGAUCGGAAAGCUCUGUUGUUAAGGAAGCGGUACUUAACCAGAAAGGGACGGCUAACUACGUGCCAGCAGCCGCGGUAAUAC